GAUGAAGAACGUAGCGAAAUGCGAUACGUAGAGUGAAUUGCAGAAUUCAGUGAAUCAUCGAAUCUUUGAACGCACAUUGCACCUCUCGGUAUUCCGGGAGGUAUGCCUGUUCGAGCGUCAUUUGUACCCUCAAGCUCUGCUUGGUGUUGGGUGUUUGUUCCGCCUCUGUGUGUGAACUCGCCUCAAAACAAUUGGCAGCCGGCGUACUUGUUUCGGAGCGCAGCACAUUUUGCGAUCCAGAUCAACGUACAGCGGCAUCCAAGAAGCCUUAUUUAACGCUCUUGACCUCGGAUCAGGUAGGGAUACCCGCUGAACUUAAGCAUAUCAAUAAGCGGAGGA
rnacentral:misc_RNA from 1 species